GAUUCUAGUGACCACCACAAACCCUGAGAGAUUCUCAACUCUUAACGCACCAGAAACUACACAACAACAAGCUAAAACAACACAAAGCUUAGAGAAGAGUUCAAGCUCUUCACCAUCACCACAUUAUAAAGCACAUGUGACCAGCUCUCAUACAGUGACUAUUGCUGUGAUCGCUCCUUUACUUCUUCUACUUACUGUUGCUGUUCUUUGUGUGAUUUAUAGAAAAAGAAAAGGUGAGUUUACAACAUCAGUUUUAUGUUAUUUGAAUAUGAUUUCAAGAGGCCUU